GCGGGAUUAGAUUCAUGCCUUACAGCCCUAUUCUCGCCCUCUGUAUUUGAAACUUCGUUGCUUUGGCAGGCCUCCUGGCUCCGGCUGGACAGCGCCUGCCAGAGGAUCUAAACCCUUGAAUCUUAUGCUGUCUGAGUAAUUAUAUAAUAUUUUAAAACUUUCAACAACGGAUCUCUUGGUUCUGGCAUCGAUGAAGAACGCAGCGAAAUGCGAUAAGUAAUGUGAAUUGCAGAAUUCAGUGAAUCAUCGAAUCUUUGAACGCACAUUGCGCCCUCUGGUAUUCCGGGGGGCAUGCCUGUUCGAGCGUCAUUACAACCCUCACGCCCUGCGUGGUGUUGGGCUCGCCCCUAUAAGGGCUUGCCUCAAAAUCAGUGGCGGCCGCUGUUCGACCCCUAAGCGUAGUAACUAUUUCGUCGCUUCUGGGCUAGAGCAAGCCUGUCAGGAACCCCCACCUUCAAAGGUUGACCUCGGAUCAGGUAGGGAUACCCGCUGAACUUAAGCAUAUCAAUAAGCGGAGGAA
rnacentral:rRNA from 1 species